CCAGCAUUUGGUCACUGGUUCCAAAUCUUUGCAAGAUCUUCCAAGGCAUUUGAUACCAAUAGAAUUAUCAUGCGUGGAGUGUGCCGGGCAACUUACUGAGCCACUGCUCAUAACAGCAGAUGCCAAACUUGUCACCUAUACUGGUGGUGUAGAUGGCUUUUCUACAUACUGCAUGGCAUGUCCUGACUGUGGGCUGAUGUACAGAUAUCAAGAAUAGACUAAUGGAAUUCACAAUUUCAAUGACCAUAUUCUCAUCACCCUUCAUUUGUGUAUUGUACUACGUGCAUCACUUCAGUUUCUUAGACUCACCAUUGGAAGGGCAUCUUAACAGCCAGUGCACUGAGCAAUUAUUUGCAGACAUGAGGAAGAACAAUUAUUUUUUGAAUACCCUCACCCCCUCUCAGCACAUCUUCAUGAUGCGGAACAUACUACAACACAAAACAUUAAAGAAAAGUUACUUUUGGUCUUUGAGUUAGAGGCAACGAUUGCUAAUCAGUGCUUUCAGCUCAUCACUGUACUUGCAGCUUCACAGGGCAAAGAUGUGUUUGCUGUCAACAGUUAUGUGGUGGUCACGUGGUUGCCUCCAUAUAACAAUGAUCCUCGGCCAGCUUUACCUGAUGGUGCUGCAACCAAGGACUUCAUGUUACUUCCCUCAUUGGAGUCAGGGCACUGGAUUAUGUGUGUAUCAAUCACAUUUCUCCCAGCCAUUGGAACAUGUCUGUACUGACAGAUUUUGAGGGUGCCCCUCUUCAGCUAGGAGGAAUUGAUUGCGGGGUAUUCAUGUUGAUCUCUGACAUGCCUAUAAUCAGGAAGUGGUGGUGCUAUCAGUUAAUUCAGACAUUUCCUCUGACAAGUCAAGUCCAACAACUAGUCACCCAGGAACAAGAUCUACCAAAUCCAGAAGACAUGGAAGUCACUCCACCGGAGUCAGAAAUCAUGGAGAUCACCCCAACACCAGGAAUCUAUGACUCAGCGGUGAUAAAAAAAACAUUCAGCUGGCCUGUAAGUGGGUGGAGGAGAACCAACACCAGUUUGCUGGGAAGAUUGAACUGCCAAAGAUCUUAAGGAUGAAGGAGGAUGAUGCCUUGUUGGCUAUCGCAAUGCGAGACUUGUUCAUAAACACCAUGUUUUAUGAAGGUGAAAGGGAUGAAGAACAAAUUCGGGCUCCCUUCCUUUUCACUUUUCAGAGAGUAGAGGACAUGGAAUUAUUCUUGCAGGAAAUACGCGACAAAAGAGAUAUCCGUGUGUCUUGUUUACACAACCCUCAUUUGUGAAU